UACGGAAGGCGCAGUGGGGAAUAUUGGACAAUGGGCGAAAGCCUGAUCCAGCCAUGCCGCAUGAGUGAAGAAGGCCUUCGGGUUGUAAAGCUCUUUUAGUGAGAAAGAUAAUGACGGUACUCACAGAAGAAGUCCUGGCUAACUCCGUGCCAGCAGCCGCGGUAAUACGGAGAGGGCUAGCGUUAUUCGGAAUUAUUGGGCGUAAAGAGCGCGUAGGCUGAUUAGUAAGUUAAAAGUGAAAUCCCAAAGCUUAACUUUGGAAUUGCUUUUUAAAACUGCUAGUCUAGAGAUUUGAAAGAGGAUAGAGGAAUUCCUAGUGUAGAGGUGAAAUUCGUAAAUAUUAGGAGGAACACCAGUGGCGAAGGCGUCUAUCUGGUUCAAAUCUGACGCUGAGGCGCGAAGGGCGUGGGGAGCGAAACAGGGAUUAGAUACC
rnacentral:rRNA from 1 species